AGGGAUGAGGGGCAGACAGGUGGCCUAUUGUUCUUCCCCGGGUCUAACCAUUCUGCGGCCUGGCCCUCUCUGCCCUGUCGCCCACCCCAACCCAGGGUCUCC
rnacentral:miRNA from 14 species